rnacentral:lncRNA from 1 species
UUCCGAUUUCAGAAAAAAAAACAAUAACAAAAACAUACAUCUUCUUCACUUAAAUUUCAGAUAUUCUUCACUAUAUUUGAGUUUUCAUCGGUCUUGUGCAAACUCUAGUAUAAGCUGAAUUAUCCUGAGUAUUCCUGCGUUCCAACUGUAAGACAUUUGAGAGUACUUAAAAUACUUAUAAGGAAGGUGAUUUUGUUCACGAUUCUAGUCUCGAUCCAUUUGAUUUAAUUAAUUUUUUCUAACAAUCUUAUAAGUAUAUACAAAUAAUGGUCACUGAGACUUCUGUUUCAAGUAUCAAAUAGAAGAAUGAAAAAAAAUUCAAAAUCAAAAAUCUAACGAGAAUGAAAAUCAUUGAUUCAGGUAUGUUUUAUUACUCUUUUGUAAAAAAAUUAUAGAAUUGUGGAAAUCAUAAUGUCAAGAUCAUAAAUAAAAUUAUAUUUGCAUUUGGUAUUAGAGUAAUGAUAUUAAUAUUAUGUCUUCCGAUGAUUAUGUGACAUAAAAUUAUAUAUGGUCUUAUAUCUGUUUUUGGAAUUAUUUUUAUAGGACUUAGAGUUUUGUUUGCAUUAUUACUUGAUUGGUAAUGCUAACUUGUGUCUUAAGGGCACAAGAUAAGAAAUCCACUUAUAAAAUGUUUGUAUUGAAAAAAACAAUUUAAAAAUUAAUUUUAACAUUACUUUCCUUAGGGGCACAAGUUAGCAUUACUCUUAUUUGACAUGGGUGCAUAUGUAUUUAUAUGGCAUGUGUGUGGUGUACUUAGUUGAUAAUUAAUUUCUAAUAUAAAUUCAAUAACUAAUGUUAAAGUAAAUGAUGGUUCAUUUAAAUCAAUACACAAUUUUCAAUGUAAUAUUACUUUCUUUAGUUCUUAACUUGUGCCCCUAUGACACAAGUUAACAUUAUCCUUAUUUGAUAUGGAUGCAUAUGUAUAUCUAUGGGAUGUGUUUGGUGUACGUCGUUGAUAAUUAAUUUCUAAUAUAAAUUCAAUAAUUAAUGUUAAAGUAAAGUAUGAUUUAUAUCAUAUAAUUCAUUGUUACCUGAAUAUUAAUUAUGUUUGAUAACUUUUGUAUAUAAAUGUAUGGUUUCAGAAUAUAUAAUGUCAACGUUGUAUGAUGCAUAUGGGAAAUAUAUUGUUUCAAGUAACUACAAAAUGGUGCAAUCAAUUAUUGACCGUAUAUGCAUCCAUGUCGAUAACAUACUCCAUAUCGCAUAUGACAACAUAUCGGUAACAAUAAUCUAAUUGAAUUUUAGAUUGGUUUGCUAUGUUUUUUAUUACUUCAUAGUAUCAUAGAUUCAUAAUUAUAGAUGUAUAAAAAUAAUGAUGCUUCACAUAAAGUUUCUGUUCAUGGAUUAUUAUUAAGUUUAAAUUAAUUUGAAAUGAAAAGCUAUGAAUGAAACAUACUAGGAAAAAGAAAAGGAAUUCAAUGGACUGACCCAUGGGUGUGGUAGAAAUCCUCCAUUGAACUGCACUAGUGAUGGAUUUGUUUCUAUGAAAAGCUUGAAAGUUCAAAGUUCUAGAUAGUACAAAUACCCGCUUGGACGAG